AGUGAACGCUGGCGGUAGGCCUAACACAUGCAAGUCGAACGGCAGCACAGUAAGAGCUUGCUCUUACGGGUGGCGAGUGGCGGACGGGUGAGGAAUACAUCGGAAUCUACUUUUUCGUGGGGGAUAACGUAGGGAAACUUACGCUAAUACCGCAUACGACCUACGGGUGAAAGCAGGGGAUCUUCGGACCUUGCUCGAUUGAAUGAGCCGAUGUCGGGUUAGCUAGUUGUCGGGGUAAAGGCACACCACGGCGACGAUCCGUAGAUGGUCUGAGAGGAUGAUCAGCCACACUGGAACUGAGACACGGUCCAGACUACUACGGGAGGCAGCAGUGGGGAAUAUUGGACAAUGGGCGCAAGCCUGAUCCAGCCAUACCGCGUGGGUGAAGAAGGCCUUCGGGUUGUAAAGCCCUUUUGUUGGGAAAGAAAAGCAGCAGGUUAAUACCCCGCUGUUCUGACGGUACCCAAAGAAUAAGCACCGGCUAACUUCGUG
rnacentral:rRNA from 1 species